GGUUAAGUUAGAAAGGGCGCAUGGUGAAUGCCUUGGUACUAGGAGCCGAUGAAGGACGGGACUAACACCGAUAUGCUUCGGGGAGCGGUAAGUACGCUUUGAUCCGGAGAUUUCCGAAUGGGGAAACCUAAUCAUCUUAGUCGAUGAUUGCUUGGCUGGUGAAUCUAUAGCCAGCAAGCGGUAGACGCAGUGAACUGAAACAUCUUAGUAGCUGCAGGAAGAGAAAGAAACAUCGAUUUCCUGAGUAGCGGCGAGCGAAACGGAAAGAGCCCAAACCAAGAAGCUUGCUUCUUGGGGUUGUAGGACUGAACAUUUGAGUUACCAAAGGGCAAGGUAGUCGAAACAGCUGGGAAGCUGUACCAGAGAUGGUGAUAGUCCAGUAGACGAAACCUUAC
rnacentral:ncRNA from 1 species